rnacentral:lncRNA from 1 species
UGGAGGGGGCUCUUGUUUACCAUGUGGCAUAGGGCAACCCAGCAUACCAAGGGCGUCUCAGAUGCCAUUGUGAUUUAUUUGUAAGUUUUUGCACAUUUCCUCAGAACAAUUUGCCAAUGUAAAAUAUUGCAUAAUCUAGCCUGUUUAGUCGGUUUAAUUUGUGACACAAGCUGAACAAAUGGGUAAUGAAUCUUGACAUAUGAAACUUUAUUUGACAAAACAACAACAUUGUGCAUACAAAUCUAAGCUAAAAAGGCACAAUGAUUUUAAGCAUAUGAAAAAUCAAGAUCUAGUGGACAUAUAAUGGUGACUGAGGAGAAAAUGCAAGCUUCAUUGACGGCACACCACUCAUAAGAUGUAGCUCAUAAUGAAGGCCGCGGGGAGCACAUUUGCUGAACUAUCCCCUUAUGUGCUCUUGUGCGAUGGGGCGGAAGCGACGCACCGUCUUCGUUCGGCUCUUCUAUUUUUGUGGUGGUGGAGUCAUUGGCUUUUCAGAGCUCACCGACAUCGACGGCUUUGGUGCCGGAGGCAUUCUCCUCUGCCGUUUCAUCGGCACACCAACUUUCGGCGCUUUUUUUGGGUGCUUUCCUAGCACACUAACCUGCGCCGACACAUUUGAGGUGGACAAAGCAACCAAGAUUGCCAGGAUGGCGAAGAUCUUGAACAGCUUCAUUUUGGCCCAAAAACGCUUUGCUCUGAGUGAUAUCUCGUGAGCUCAACUUAUAGUGCAGACGGUGGUUGACUAAUUCAUUCGUAAUUUGCUUGGAAAGUGGUGAAAACUUGGACGGUUGACUUGGCUUGCACUUGCUUGGAAAACCCGGUCAGGUCACGCGUUUAACACCGCCUAGAUCGGAAGCCACACAUGGCUUGUCUGCUAUCCAAUGUCUAUUGGAACAGUGAAACAUAUAGUAGUACUAAUUGAGAUGCAUUUGCACGAGGAAGGCUAAGGGAAACGAAGAAAGAAAAGGGAAGGUGGCUCUCGCUCGAAAUUUUCGCUAGGGAUUUCAUGUUCCGGCGUUUUAAUUUGGCGACGUUGCUUGCAAAACAUGUGUGGAUAUUCUGGGCCACGACGCUAGCUCGUAACAAGAGUGUAUUUUGUGCUAUCAAAUAUUCCUAUAUCGGUUGUGUGAUUUGUGUCUAGCUAUGCAAUGCUCGGAGCUAGUUCAGCUUGUUAGGAUGAUCUCUUUUCCAUGUGGGCCCAACGGCCCACCGGAACCUUGACUCGUGUUCUGAUAAGAGACGUCCAACCAAAUUAUGGUUGGUGGGCCCUUGUCGUCGCGCUAUAUAAAGAGGUGGGGUGCCGGACGCACACGGUACGAGGUUCAUCGUGCGUUGCAGCCCCCACCAACAAUCCCUAUCGAUCUAGGGUUAGCGCAGUCCGACGAGAAGCACCACCGCCGCCACUAUUCACGCGCACACGCUCACCGCUGUCACUCUCCAACCAUUGCAUCAGGCUCGGGAUCCUCGAGCCAAGGAGAAGGUAUACUCGAUCUCCUCCUCUGACUAUUGCGAAUCCCCUACCCAUGCGAUCCAGAGGAUCUAUCAAUGGUAUCAGGCAGUUUUUGGUGUAGGAUUUUCGGUAGAAAAUAGAAAGAAAAUCCUCUCCCUUAACCGAAGAACCCUAGAAGGGCAUAGAAGACACAUCAAAAGAAAAGGGCUCACCGGAGUAGGGCUUUGCGCCCGUCGGCAAAGAACGUCGCCGCAAGGCCGCACUAGUUCCUCUCGAUCUCGUAGCGCAUCGUUAAGCCGAGGCUCGGGAAGAAGAACCACCCCAACGGGGCAAAGGGCACCGCCGCUGUGCCGCUUGACGGCAGCGCGCUCCCCUUUGGGAGUUCGCGCACAUUGGCAAGGGGGACAAGGGAGGCGCCGACGCAUCUGAGAGUGGAGGGUCUCGCGACGCUCUCGCGUCUCUCGCUCUCUACCAGAAGGGUGGAAAGAAAGGGAAGAAACGGAGAGAGAGAGAGAAGGGGAAGGGGAGGCUCGCGCGGCGCGGCAGUUCGCCGUUGUCGCCGGCAGCCGGCAUCACCCUAGCCCCGCUGCCAUGCCUUGCUGCGGGCAAGAGAUCCCUGCGAAGAGAGGCUAAAGAAGUUGGGGGUAGCAAAGGCGCGCCUGGCGCGGUGGUCAACGACCCCGUCGCCAGUGGCCGGACUGUGCAUCACCGAUGGCCAUCCGCCGCCGCUGCGGAGAGAGCAGAGAGAGGGUGGAGCACGCGGGGCUAGCAGGCCUUGGGCCAGCGGGAGCAGCUUAACCGGUCACGCGUUUAGCCCAACCUAGAUCGAAGGUCACACAUGGCUUAUCUGGUAUCCAAUGUCUACUGAAACAGUGAAACAUAUACUUCCUCUGUCUUAAAAUAAGUGUCUUAACUUUGUACUAGUUUUAGUAUAAAGUUGUACUAAGUUUAAGACAUUUAUUUUGAGACGGAGGAAGUAUUACUAAUUGUGAUGCAUUUGCACGAGGAAGGCUAAUGGAAACGAAGAAAGAAAAAGGAAGGUGGCUCUCGCUCGAAAUUUUCGCGAGCGAUUUCAUGUUCCGCCGUUUUAAUUUGGCGACGUUGCUUGCAAAACAUGCAUGGAUAUUCUGGGCCACGACGCUAGCUCGUAAAAAGAGUGUAUUUUGUGGUAUCAAAUAUUCCUAUAUCGGCUGUGUCUAGCUAUGCAAUGCUCUGAGCUAGUUCAGCUUUGACAGAUAUGGUUAAGGCAUCUCCAACGGCGUUUAAAAUGGACACACCAAACGUUUCACACGACCAUGUCCGGACGUUUGUUUAAUUUACACAAAUGAUAAGUACCACAUGUCAGGUGUGCGGACUCCGGGCCCGAUAUUUUUCGAUGACGUUUCACACGACCAUGUCCGGACGUUUGUUUAAUUUACACAAAUGAUAAGUACCACAUGUCAGGUGUGUGGACUCCGGGCCCGAUAUUUUUCGAUGACGUUUCACACGACCAUGUCCGGACGUUUGUUUAAUUUACAAAAAUGAUAAGUACCACAUGUCAGGUGUGUGGACUCCGGGCCCGAUAUUUUUCGAUGACAAUUUUAGAUUUUCGGCCUGCCGCGCCCGGGCCACAGGAUCCACCAACCCCGCGUCGUCCGCACCGUUGGAUACGCAUGCAACAUUUUUCUUCCUAUGCAGCAAAAUUUCGAUGCCAUGCAGUAAAUUUUUCAACGGUUGCAAUAAAAAUAAAAUUUGUAGCAAAAAAAAUCUACGUGAUCGUAGCAAAAAAACGAAGCUGAUGGUACGUGGUAGCAAAAGUCAAACGCCGGUUGUAACAAAAAUUUACGUGACGUGUAUGCAACUUUUUAGUGAACGGUUGCAGCAAAACAUGAUGCCGGUUGUAGCAAAAAUUAAUACGGUUGUAGCAAAAAGUAAAAAACAUCGAUUGUAACAAAGAAUCCGACGAACUAGAGUUGCAACCAAACUUAUAUGCAGCUUUUUUACUAAGACAAAAUAUAGUAAAAAAACGCUUGCAGCAAAAAUAACGCAGGUUGCAACAUUUUUAGACGAAAAAUGUUGCAUCCAUUGACCGAAGAAGCGCGCGGCUGGGAAAAAUGUUGCAAGGCCCGCCCGCGCCAGGGGCGACCGGCGCGUCGGUUCGUCCGACGCGCGGGUGGGAAACGAUUCCCAUUUCAGUCACCCAAAGAUGACAAAUUUUAAUGACACAUGGCAAGUUUCUGUCAAAAACAAACUGAAUCACAAAAGUUGACAUCUUCGCGUCACUAAAUAUGUCAUAAAAAACAUUCAGAGUUGCUAUAUGCUCAUGCCACACGUUAGGUACUUCUCAGGGUCCUAAUUUUAAUGGUUAAUUGGUUUCUUCUAACUUAGAACAGGAAAGUUGCAAUGAAUAUAUUUUUCUAUAAUGUACGAAUAUUUUGGUUCCCAUAGAAAAAUGUUUUGCCGUGAGCAAUUUUUCCAUGUUUGUUUUCAGUGAAGUAAAUAUUGCAUCACUUUAGUUAUACGUAAGUCACGCCAAUUUUAAAUUUGCGUAAUUCGGUUUUCUGACCAUUGAUUAUUUUGUCAUGAUUCAUGUUAUUUUCUUUUCUUGUGUUGUUUAGGCUGAGUUGACUUGCCCUUGUUUGGGGUAAGUCAUUUUUUCUUAUGCUGGAUUUUUGACUUGCCCUUGUUUCUGGUAAGUCGAUUUUGGGCUUGAAGCCCCUUACACAUUUCACUUUGUUUUUGCUUUUUAUUUUUAUUUUUAGCCUAUUUUUCGUUUGUCUACAAGAAUAUUUUUUGCGUAUUGGACGAGUAAAAAUGCAUACACAUAAGUACUAUAUAGUAUGUGUGUAGAUUACACUAUAAUGUGAAAAGUAUACAAUUAUAUGCUUACCCUUUGCAUAUUUUACAAGUACAAUUUUCACUGCAAAGUUGUGUGCAAGUUUGUGCUAAAUAUAUAUUUCAUUCUUAAGGAUAAUACCAAAUGUCAAUAACAUUCUUCCAUACAGUAGAUCAUUGUUUUGAUUUAGUUUUAAUUAUAUUUCAUUUUCUUUCUUAUUUAAGAGUAAUACCAAUGCCACUAAUUCAUUCCUUCUUAUAAAACUUUUUUUUAGAAAUACCACUAUUAUAUGUUUAUUCUUGCAUAUUUUCAAGAAAGUAACUUCUGUUUAAAAUAUGUGAAAUUUUUAUCAUUUAUUUUUCUUGAAGGGUAAUAAUAAUGCCACUAAUUAAUUCUUCCAUAGAAAAUUUGUUAUUUUAUUCCAGUUUUUGUUUCGUUUAUUUCUUCUUAGAGUGUAAUACAAAUGUCACUAAUUUAUUCUUCCUUAUAUUGUAUUUAUUUUGAUCAUGUUCUGGUCUAUAUUUAUUUUAUUUUGUAUUUAAGGGUAAUACCAAUGUCUAUAAUUCAUUUCUUCUUAGGAUUUCUUUUUUGCGAAAAUUCCACCAUUAUAUAUUAUCUUGCAUACACAAUUAUUGUGUAAAUUGCGUGCAAGUUUCGAAAUUCUUUGAUGCAGAUUGUUUUUCAUUCUCUUUCUUCAUAAAACAUAAUAUACAUAUGACACUAAUUAAUCGUUCCUUAGAGAACUUCAUAUUUUAGUUUUAUCGUAGUUCAUAUUACAAAUGCCAUUAACUCAUUGUUUCUUAGGAAAUGCCUUUAUUAUGAUUUUGUUUUAGUUUAUAUUUUGAGCCUACCUAGUGCAACAAGGCAGGAGUACCUCACCCCUCUCGCUCUCACGACCGUGUCGCCCCCGCGGGGGACAGGCCGCGCCAGGGCCCUUCUCCUCUAGCUCUCCCCCAUCACUCCCUCCUCACCGCCGUAGCCGGAGCCCAUUGUUGGGCAUGGCGCGUGCGACGCCUGCGGCGGCGGCCCCUGGCCAUUCCUCUCUAGAUUGCUCUCCUGCAUGGGACGGAGCGGCGCCGGGGGGUGUUCCUAGGCGGCGGCGGUCCGACAUGGCGACGGGAUUUCCUGGUGCGAUCCGGGAGAUCGGAUGGGUGGUGGCGGCGGCGUUGGAGGCGGGGUGGCGUGGUGGCACGGCCUGGCGGCACCCGCUUAGCCCACAUGUGGGCCCUUUAGGGGCCCAUCGGGGUCUGGGCGGGUCGACGGCGUGGCGGGUCGGCGGCGUGGCUUCCGGAAGAUAGGGGAGUGGCGAUGGGCUGUGGGUUGCUGGCGCCUCCCUGCUGCAGCGUGGCCGACGGGGAUUAGUGGGCCCGAUUCAGGCCCGGCAGGACCAGGGGUGGCCUGGUUUACCAUGCUACUGCGUCCGGUCGGCGAGUGAGGCGGUGCCGGAGGCAGGGGUCCUCCACACGACCGUGGUGGGGGUGGUUCCCUCCCGCGCGGCUACAAUGUUGCUGCUCCCGUCGUGAAGCACCCUCUCUCCAUCCUCUUGGCCUCGUGGUGGUGAUCUCAGUGAGGCAGCAUGGGUGGCGUCGCGACCGCAGUGGCGCAUGCUGGUGGGCGGCAGGUUGGCUGGUUGGCUCCGGUCCGGUUGGGCGGCGGGGUUUGGAGUGCGGGAGAAAUCCUUGCCGGUUAUUCCCGCUCCGAUGCGGUGACACGUGCGGCUGCCACCAUUCCUUCUUGGAGGGUGUCAGCGGUCUCCAUCCCCCACUCCCCUCCGUGUACCAGGGGAAAUCCUAGGACACGUCCGUGCAGCAGCAGCAUCGCAUCCCUUGUUGGAGGUGCUUCUUGGUACACGGAGGAUCGGAGCCUUGGAUCGUUCUGGGUCGAUUCCGAAGGGCGCAGCGGUUGCGGUUCAUCCGCACUUUGUCAAGCUGCCGGUGUUGGCAUUGUUUCUUUCUCUUUUGUUUUUUUUGGUUUGUUGUGCUGCUCACCACAGCGUUUGCUCUGUAACCGCUGUUGGUUGCUUUGUAAUACAAAGCGGGGAGAAACCCUUUUUCGGUAGUUUAUAUUUUCAUUUUAUUUAUUCUUUAAGUGUUAUACUAAUGCCACUAAUUUUUGCUUUAAAAACUAUAUUAUUUAUGUGUAAUUUCAAUAUUGUAUGCUUAUCCUUGCAUAUUAUAACAAAGCGCAAUUUGGGUUGUGUAAUUUUUUUUUGAUUAUUUAUUUAUUUAUGUUUCCUAUCUUCUUAAAGGGUAAUAUUAGUGCCACUAACUUAUUCGUGCUUAGAAAACUUCAUUAUUUUGAUUUUUUAUCUACUUGUUAUUUCAUUUUGUUUCUUCUUUAAAGUAAUAUCAAUUCCGCUGAUUCAUUCCUUCUUAGAAAAUAUUUUGUUGCCAAAUUUCCACUAUUAUAUGCUUAUUCUUCUACAUGAUAAACAACACAAUUUCUGUGUAAAUUGUGUGCAAAUAUUGCAAGUACUUGUAUUUUCUUCUACAUUUUUGAAGGGUAAUACUCGUGCCACUAAUUCAUUCUUUCAUACAUAACUUAUUNNNNNNNNNNNNNNNNNNNNNNNNNNNNNNNNNNNNNNNAUACAUAACUUAUUUUUUUUAAUUUCUUAAUUUUAUUUGUGUUCAUUUAUUAUCGUUCUUGUCUUAUAUAUUAUUAGGUAUCAUGUCAUUUUUGUUUGUGUAUUUCAGACCAAGCUCAAGUAUCGGAUGGGCUUCUGUUUAUUGGUUGCAUAGGGCCGAGUGCUUCUCUAAAAAGUCGAUCGAGACCAAUUUAUUUUAACGUAUGUCUUUACUCAUAAGAAAAGUAACCAGUACAAAUAAAAUCAUUUUUUUAUGUCCCGUGCAUUGAUAUUUCUGGAUCCAAUUUUAAUUUUAUUCUUUUUUCAUUUUACCUUACGUAUAAAAGAAAAGAUGGAGUUUUGUGUAAGUCAAAGCAGCUUGCAUGCAUGCAUGGUGAAAGUUACCAAAAGGUCGGCCGUUAUGAGGCUUCCGCUUUACUCCCUCUGUACCGAAAUAUUUAUAGCUGUUGUAGGCUAAGGAGUAGUUUGCGCUUGCAUACGGGCAGAACGUCAAUCAAUGAUACCUAGCCAGUCCCAUAUUUCAUGGCGAAUGGCGUGUGAGGACUUCCCUAAAAAGGUUAAAAGGAUGUACAGCACAAGAAGGCAUGUCAUACAGGGAAGUCGUCCAGAUGCUAUUUAGAAAAUUUUAGUUUUUGCACAUUUAUCAGAAAUCUAGCCUAUUCGUGAUACAAAUUGAACAAAUGGGUAACGAAACCCUGCAUAAGUGUCUUUAUUUGACAAAACUACAACAUUGUGCCCACAGAUCUACGCUAAAGUGGGUAGUACAAGAUUAUGCAUAUGAAAACUAUAAAGGUCUAAUUGCAUAUAAUGAUGGCUGGGAAGAAAAUGAAGGAUCUAAUAACCACGCGCCACACGAUAUAUGCUCAUCGUGGAGGUGGUGGGGAGCUCAAUGGCCGAGCUAGGGUGUUCUGCACUGGCGGUCGAGUCAACGGAAAGUGCAUCGGCAAUGUCCCACUCUUCUGCACCGGCAGUGGAGGUGGCAUUGGCUGCACCGCGNNNNNNNNNNNNNNNNNNNNNNNNNNNNNNNNNNNNNNNNNNNNNNNNNNNNNNNNNNNNNNNNNNNNNNNNNNNNNNNNNNNNNNNNNNNNNNNNNNNNNNNNNNNNNNNNNNNNNNNNNNNNNNNNNNNNNNNNNNNNNNNNNNNNNNNNNNNNNNNNNNNNNNNNNNNNNNNNNNNNNNNNNNNNNNNNNNNNNNNNNNNNNNNNNNGCUGGUGGUGAAAGAGGCGGUGGAGGUGGCAUUGGCUGCACUGCGUUCUUCCGCGCUGGCGGUGAAGGAGGCGGUGGCGACCGCAAAGGCUGAAUUCCGUUCUUCUUUGUUGGUGGUGGAUGUGGUGGCGCUGACCAUCGGCGCCGAUUUGGUAUCGGUGCCGGAGGCAGUUUGCCUAUCCGUUUCCCAUGUAUACCAACUUUUGGCGCUUUUUUUGCCGGCUUCCCUAGUGCACUAACCCAGGACAAUGGUGUUGAGGUGGAUAGAACAACAAAGAUGGCGAGGACGACGAAGAUCUUGAACAGUUUCAUAAUGUCCUAUGGACAAUUACUUCUCAGUGGUAUCUCGUGAGCUCAACUUAUAGUCAAAUGAUGGUUCACUGUUGACUUGACUUGUAACCUUCGUGGAAAUUUGUGAAAAUUUGGGUGGUGGACUUGACUCGCUCCUGCUCGGAAAAUCAGGUGAACACCUAGAUUAGAGGCCACACAUGGCGCUUGUCUAGCAUCCAAUGCCGCCCGUUCAGAACAAGAAACAUAAGUUUGAUAAUCUCAAGGAAGAAAAGACAUACUACAAUCGAUUUUCAUUUGUACGAAGAGUAAAAGGAAACAGCAUGGAGUAAGAAAAGAAAAGAAAAAGGCUCUCUUCUGCCAUGUGAUGCAGGCCGGCCCAUCAUACGUACGACAAGGCCGAACAGGAUGUCAUGGGCCCAGUUAUGGAGGACGAGCCCCUCAAAAUGAAAGUUAUGGAAGACGAAGCUUCUUCUUGUGAUCUUGUCUCCUCUUUUGAACAUGGUCAUCCAUGACCAUCUAUUGCCAAACUGAUCACCUACCUCACGAACUCCGACGAUCCCGGAGAACAUUUUCUGGCAGGACCACGGCCGCGCAAUCAUCCGCCGCCGUCGACGGUCGACGUUGUCACCAUCCAUCCGCAAGCGCGCGCCACGAACGGGAGAGCAGGCCAGCGAGCCGGACGACGGAACUGAAGAGGAAGAAGGAUUGAUCAAGCGGCCAUGGCGAGACCCAUGGACUGCGACCUGGACCGCGAGCUCCAGAACGUGUCCCUGGACACCCUCUUCCUCAUCAUCCUCCAGGCCGUCGUCGUCGUCGCCCUCGGCAAGUUCAUCCACCUCUCCCUCCGCCGCCACAACCAGCCCAGCGCCAUCUCCCAGAUCCUCGUACGCACCCACCCAUUGCACGCACGCACGCAUGCAUGCACACGAUUUUCCUUCUUCUUCUUCUUCUCCCGAUGGCCAUGCGUAUGAACCUUUGCUCCA